AAAGCGAGUCAUUCUUAAAUUAAUGCAAACAUCGCAAGGGGUUUGUAUUCAACUGUGGGUUCCCCUUAACUGAUGACAAAACGGUUUAUCCCACUCACUGUCUUGUAGGUUUAGAAAUGAAACAAUGAAAAUGCUGAUCAGAAUACCUCUUGAAAAAUGUAUCAAAUUGACGUCCAUACUGUAGGAACAUUAAUUAUUAGUUCUACGGCAGUUAUGGUCAUUGUUGCAGAAGCUCGAUUUCUCUUACAAGUUUGUUAGGAGAUAGUACGAUUCAACCCGGGGGUAUCUAAGUCUCACCAUCAUACUAUGUUAAACAAUGAAAUGAAGCAAGAUAUAUGCCCAGAACAAUUUAAUGGUCAAGAUUAUUUCCAAGAAAGUGAUUGGUCGUCAAAUUAAAUUUUAGAUCUAUAUACAGAGAGUGCCGUUUCUGCACAUCUGGGUUGUGGAGCAUACUUUUCAGGGCAAUGGUGCUAUUUCCCUUAGCCACGUGAAUGGGUGACUACAGUUCUUCAGAUGUAUUGUAUGACAUGACAACACUAGAUCUUAUCCCAGUAGUUUUGGCUGUCAGUUUAUGUGGUAGUCAACUUGCAAAUAGGAGAAUACAGUUUUAUAUUGAUAAUGAGGCAUUGGUUAUGGUUUUGAACAUACAGUCCUCAAAAUCCAGUAGAGUGAUGAGAUUAAUUCGUUCAUUUGUGUUAGACUGCUUUUAAACAAUAUAAUUUUUCGUGCUGUUCACUUCCUUACUAGUUAUAACAGUAGUGCCGAUUCAAUUUCUCGUCAGAAGUGGCACCAUUUCUGGCAAACUGCACCACAUAACAUCACCACAACUUGUACCAAUCGAAUUCCAGAACCUCAUAUCUAGCAUAAAUUAAACAAGUUGUUAGGGGCAGCAUUUUCUGAAAACACUAGCAAGGCUUAUUAAUUAGGCGUAUAAGAGCAUACUUCAGCUGCUGCUUGCAACAAAGAUUAAAGACUAUUUGGCUCCCCCUUGUUAUUUGAUUGUUAGAUUUGUUGCACACUGGUCAAUUAAAGGCCUUGUGUUUUCGACAUUUCGUCCUAACUUAGCUUCCGUUUCUUAUAAUUGCAAACUUCAAGAUCACAUAGACCUAACAGAAGAGUUCAUACUUAAAAGUUGCUACAGGGGUUAAAAAGCACAGCUCACAGCAUUGACAAUAGGUUGCCCAUUAAAAGGUCCAUAUUAAAGCAGAUUCUUAAAAUUUUACCCUGCGUAUGUACAAAUUCAUAUGAGGUAUCAUUAAUUGUUUUCUAUUCUAUACUAAAACUUUCUUUAAAAACAAAAUUAUGCAGUCUCCGACGAAUCCUCAGAUGGAGUUGUUGCCAAUACAGAAACUCAAUUUGACGGCACAUCAUUAAUUAAUUAAAAAAAAAAAAAGACGGACCAAUAUGGAAGGGUAACGACUUUGCAGAUACAUGACACAGAGGAUUUAAUUUGCCCCUGCACUAAUCUUCAAAGGUUUUUAGAAAUAAGACCUACCCAAAGGGUCAAUUAUUUUGUCAAUUUUUCCGGAUCUCCUUUCACUAAGUACCAUUUUACUUUGAAUUUAGCCAAACCAUAAGUCUUAAACCUCGAGUCUUGGGACAACAGAUCCCACUUCUUUCGUAUUGGGGCAAGUACGGAAUUGGGGAUUUCAUCUCAAAUUAUCCAUAGAGGGAAACAACAGUGACAAAUUAAAGAAUGUCAGGUUUAAAUACUUGAAAUUUAUUAAGGAGAUUCAAUUUCCUCUUGUGCACUUAAUAUGGUCUCAUAUUCUGCUCGUAUUAAUUGGCAUUGGGUUUAAUGCAUUUUUCUUUAACAAAGUUUGUGAAGUUGGGGAUUCUGUAAUCCACUAUCCUGACAUCAAAAAGCCAAGCCAAGAUUAUCUGAAAGGGAUGGGGACAUUUAUCCAA